GGGCCCGUGGUCUAGCGGCAUGACGCUGCUUUCACAGAGCAGAGAUCAGGAGUUCAAAUCUCCUCGGGCCCA
rnacentral:tRNA from 1 species